rnacentral:lncRNA from 1 species
CCCCAGGGAGUGGCCGUGCACACUCAGCCCUUUGGGGUCUGAUAAAGGGGCCCGCUGAUGGCCUGAUUGCUCUUCCCACGGCCAUCGUCCUCCAGGGCAUCUUGGAGGAGGCCUGGCAAGCCCUUGCGAGAGGAGUCAGGGCCUGGUCCCUCGGGCUGGCCAAGACCUGGGGCGCCCACCAGUGCUCCCUCCUAUGAGCCCAUCCCAGGGCUCCCCAGUGUCCUGUCUGCCCUGAGGCUCCUUCCGUGACCUGCAGGCUCCUUCCAUGACCAGCCCCAUGGGGCCUACCAGUAUCCAGCGUCAGGUCGCACAGCUGCAUCUACCCCACAGGCUCACGUUGACUCUGGAGGCCCCUCCCAGGUCCCUCUUGCACCCGGCAGGGCUGUGGGCAGGACACGGGUUCAGGCCUUGCCCUGGAAAGCCCCAUACACAGUGGGACUCCAUGGGGUGGUGCAGGGGCACCCUGGGGGCCAGGGCUGGUUGUACACAGGGCACCCCCACCUUUGUCAGCUCACUGGUCCUCCGGCCAGCCUCUCCAGAUGGGCACUGCCAUAACCACAUUUUACAGACCGGGACACUGAGGCUCAGUGACACAAGCUCCGAGGUCACACCAUGGGAAAUCACAAACAGGGCCUGGCCCCAAAUGCCACACUCCUUCCCCAGCCCCAAAGACCCUGCCCCAAGCAUGAGUCUGUUCCAUGAGAAACCGAAGUUUCUGGGCUCCUAGGGACCCUGUAUCUGGCACCAGACAGCACCUGGCUGCUCAGGACGAAUGAAUGAUGGCGUGAUCCUCCACAGCCUGACUUACAGGCACCGUGUGUGGCCGCACUGCUCCCUC